GCACCGUUGGCUUAGUUGGUAGAGCAACUGAUUCUUAAUCAGUGGGUCCUGGGUUCGAACCCCAGACGGUGUACCA
rnacentral:tRNA from 1 species